rnacentral:rRNA from 1 species
UACGUAGGGGGCGAGCGUUGUCCGGAUUUAUUGGGCGUAAAGAGCUCGUAGGCGGUUCCGUAAGUCGGAUGUGAAAUCUCCACGCUCAACGUGGAGGCGCCAUUCGAUACUGCGGUGACUCGAGUCCGGUAGGGGAGUGUGGAAUUCCCGGUGUAGCGGUGAAAUGCGCAGAGAUCGGGAGGAACACCCGUAGCGAAGGCGGCACUCUGGGCCGGAACUGACGCUGAGGAGCGAAAGCGUGGGUAGCGAACAGG